rnacentral:lncRNA from 1 species
UUUUUCAUAAGGAAGCAUAAAAUUCAGAGUAUCGCAGCAAAAGGCGAACUGAUUAUAUGUAUGAAGACCUAUAACCGAGAGUACAUUGCUUGAUUCAAAAGAAAACAAAGUAACUCAAUCAUCAAGACUGUAUCGACAAAAUGGAAAUGCGAUAAAGUAAAUACAUCAAGACUGUAUCCCCCACCAGUACCAGACCAAUCUCGCUCCUCGCUUAGCCUGCACAUUUAGAAAUACAUGCAGAGCGUGAGUACAUAAUACUCAGUGGGCAAACGCCGAAAAACAAGAAAGGUGCUCUUAGAGCUAUAGGUUUGAAACUUGCCACAUCUCAGCAGUACAUAGGAAUAAAAUAGUGUAAAUGAACCUGUGUAAGCAGUUUUAACAAACAUGACAUCAUAAAGAAACGACUGCAGUCAAAGAUCUCAACAUGUAUGCACCACAUUUACAACUCAUCAAUAUCAAAGGUACUGAGAAGUAGGCCUCCCUCUCAAGUACCGUGACUGGCCGACCUGAAGACGGCUCGCAGUCACCUCUGUGCAUAAAAUCCCGCUUGAGGCAGGACCGAAUUCGUCUCAUCAGUAGAGGGUAACAAACAAGUCAUUAUCAACAAAAAUCGGCUAGUCAAACAGUUCUCAAACAUCAUUUAUCUCAAAACAUUUGUAAACUCAUAACAUCAUCAAAACAGUUUAGAAAGCUCGUUGAUAUUGUAUACUAAAAUAAUUGCCCACCUGAAGUCCUUCGCUCAACUUGGAAAGGAAAACAGGCGACUUACUUCUUCAUCUCGCUCGGGCCUUCAUAUAUCAUCAUCAUCGUCAUCGAAGGUUCAUGUGAUAAAACAAACCUUAGUUAGAACUCGUUACUAAAACCAAUCUCGUCUCAAACUAAUACUUCUCACUCAUCUUCUAUUUACCCAAUAAAUCUCAAUCCCUAGGUUUACUUAACUUCUAAGGAUUCACACGUCCUAUUCUUGACUUAACACUCAACUCGGAUCAAACUCAUAGCAAUAAAGCACAUAAACAAGCAUAAACACAUAAGCAUAUCAAUUCACACAUAGACAUGUCGCAAACAAACUUCAUUCUGCACUGACUCGAUUUAAAAACUUCACCAGACUUGGUACAGAACUCCAAUGGAGUCGUAACCUAUACCAUUCGAAACCUCCUUGAGUCUAAUUUCUUACAAAAAAACGUAGGAUUAAAAACUCCAAGUAGUUUAGGAGAUAUGACUAUUUUACUACAGUCUACCAUAUUCGGCAGUUUUGAGCAAUCGAAAACUUUGAUUUUUGAAAACUAGUAAAUGCUGCCGAAAAUGUCUGAAAUUUGGUGGGUACAUAUCUAAGCCAAUCAUGUCUUAACAAUAAAAAUUUGGUCUCCAAAACGUUAGGGAAAGAUGCCGGAAAAGGUGACUCUAUUGGCUACUCACCGAACAUUUCGGCAGAACGUAUCAGUUUUGGUUUUCCAUUUUAUAAAACUAGUAAACGAAGUCCAAAUGACUUGAAAUUUUACCGGUAUGCUCAAGACUCUCAUGUAAAUGUAUCAUAAACUUUUCAAGGUGUUUGGGUAAAAAAAACCCUUCAAAAUCAGUAGGUCAGUGCGUCACGAAAAAUAUCUCCCAACUCAAUCACACAAGCAAACAUGCUCGACUCUACACUUCAUCAAUAAAAACUUCUUAAAACUCAACUUCAACACUUAUAGCACUUAAAAACAUUCAAGUAUGAACAUAUUACUCAUCACAACUCAAGCUCGACUCUUCUCUUACAUCUCAAACUCAAAUCUCAAGAAAACGUUUCAAGAACGCAUCGUUUUAAUACUCAUCUCAUUUUCAUGCUCAAAAGUACUCAAUCACUCAUAAUUGACCUCAUACAUCACAUAACUCAUUACACAUACAUAGACUCUCUUUUAUCAUGCAAACUAAACUCGGAGAAAACUCACAUAUCAACGUGGACUCUUAAAUAAAGCAUGACAAACGUCCACAUAAUGAUCGUAUAUCAAUUAAACCUCAUUAAACCAAUCAUUGACCUCAUAACACAUGAAAACCUAAAACUUGUGUAAACUAAACUAAGUUAAAAUUUUAUAUAGCUAACAUUUAACCUAACCAAGCAUAAUUAGACUCUAAUAUCAUGCUCAAUUACAUUUAUCCUAAGCCAAUUUACUUAUUUAACACAUAGGCAUGAAAGUCCUAAUUUUGGUUACACUAAACUCUUUGAAAUUUCACAAACACAUAUGAAACUUUAAUCCAAUCAUAGAUCUAUCAAUUUUAACCAUUUAAUCUCACAUAUAAACCAUCAAUUAACAAUUUAGGGCAUAGAUACACAUAUCCCUAAUUUUAUCAAACUAACUCACAUCAAAGUCAUCAAUUAACAUCAUAUCCUCAAUUUAAUCCAUCAAUUAUCAUCUUAGACAUCUCAUAAUCUCAUGCUUAUCAUCAAUUCAUCAUUUCAAACAUCAACUCACAAAUUCCCAAUUUUGGGUAAACUAAACUCAACCAAACUUUGCAUCUCAAGACAUAGCUUUUCAAUUCACACAUCAAUCAUCGUCAAACAUAUCAUAGAUCACAUUUCUCACCCCAAUUUAAGGAAAGAAAAAGAAAAUUUUUUGAAGGGUAAAGACCCACAAUUUCGAAAAUUUCAAAGAAAAAUGGAGAGGGUGAUUUCUUGCUUCAAUCCUCCAAAUAAACUCACAUAUAACAUCAUACAAGCUAGAUCUAUGAAUUUAAAGAUCACUUACCCAAACUUACACCAAAAAAUCAAACUUUCUCUUUCUAACUUUGAAUCUAAACUCCAAGGAUUUUCUUGAAUUCUAGGAGAUAGAGGGUGUUUUGGAUAGAUCUAGAGGUGGAUUUGCUUUUGAUAUGAAUUUAUGAAGCUUCGAAGGUCUUCAUCUAUGGUUGUUAAUGGAGGAGAAGAGAGAGAUGAGGGAGAGAGAGAGAGUGUCGAUUGGUGAGGGUGAGGUAGUGAGAGAAAUUUUCAAGAUUUGUUUUGAUUUGGAUUGUAACGCCCCGCUUUUUA